rnacentral:tRNA from 1 species
AGGUAUAUGACUCACUGGUAGACUGCUUGCCUAACAUGCACAAGUCUUGGGUUCAAUCCCCAGUAUCCCUG